GGAGGAUUCAAGCGUUAUCCGGAUUUACUGGGUGUAAAGGGAGCGUAGACGGCGAUACAAGUCUGAAGUGAAAGCCCGGGGCUCAACCCCGGGACUGCUUUGGAAACUGUGUUGCUGGAGUGCUGGAGAGGCAAGCGGAAUUCCUAGUGUAGCGGUGAAAUGCGUAGAUAUUAGGAGGAACACCAGUGGCGAAGGCGGCUUACUGGACGAUAACUGACGCUGAGGCUCGAAAGCGUGGGGAGCAA
rnacentral:rRNA from 1 species